rnacentral:rRNA from 1 species
GAUGAACGCUAGCUACAGGCUUAACACAUGCAAGUCGAGGGGUAACAAGAGAAAAGCUUGCUUUUCUUGUUGACGACCGGCGCACGGGUGAGUAACGCGUAUCCAACCUGCCUAUAACUAGGGAAUAACCUUGCGAAAGUAAGACUAAUACCCUAUGAUUUCCUUUGAUGACAUCAGAUUAGGAAUAAAGAUUUAACGGUUAUAGAUGGGGAUGCGUCUGAUUAGCUUGUUGGCGGGGUAACGGCCCACCAAGGCAACGAUCAGUAGGGGUUCUGAGAGGAAGGUCCCCCACAUUGGAACUGAGACACGGUCCAAACUCCUACGGGAGGCAGCAGUGAGGAAUAUUGGUCAAUGGGCGGAAGCCUGAACCAGCCAAGUAGCGUGCAGGAUGACGGCCCUAUGGGUUGUAAACUGCUUUUAUACAGGAAUAAAGUUAGCCACGUGUGGUUAUUUGUAGGUACUGUAUGAAUAAGGACCGGCUAAUUCCGUGCCAGCAGCCGCCGUAACAC